rnacentral:lncRNA from 1 species
AUAAACAUGAUAAUUAUAGAAUUCUGGAAAUUAAUGUAUGCAUAACAACCAAACCUAUCAUGAAAAAUAUAAACUUGAAAAAAAUGUUUCUAAAAUAUCAUUCUUCCCUAGCACUACAAACCUGUAAAAGUAUGUACUCGACUUUCCUGAUUUUUACUCGACAAGUCUAAAUUGGUCUAAAAUUUACAUGAUAAUACUCGACUGCAGUCUUACCUAAACUAGACAAUUUUUUAAUCUAUCUAUUGUAUUUCAUCAAUUUAGGUACUGUUUUUAGAAAGAGCUAUUUCCCCUUACUAAAAAUUUGAACAACAAUUUGAAAUCAAAAAUGUAUUCAAUAUGGUAUUGAAACCAAAAUUUAACCAUAAACAUAAUAUAACUUCACAACAUAUAUUCAUCAACACUUACAUAUCACCUUUAAAAAAAAAAAACAAGCUGAUCAAAUAAUCUAAAACUGAAUUGUGGGUAGUAUUUACAACGUUAUUCAAAAUGUUUUGAAUGUUUCAGAUAUGUUUUAUGGUUACUAGAAAAUCUAAGCCUUGAAUAUAUUUAUGGUAUCAGUAUGUUUAGUUUUAAUAAUGCAGUGAACCUUUUUUUUUUUAAAUAUAUAUAAAUAGUUUAUUAAUCAACUUAAUAAAUAAAAACAAAAAUCACAUCUUUGUUUUGAAAAACCAUGAUGGGGUUACUUCUUAAAUUUUUAGUGGUAUGAGUGUGCUAAAAAAACCACACCUUUUCAUACCCUGCUGGUUAGAUCAGGGUCUCUUUUUCAUGUCCUGCUGGUUAGAACAGGAUUCUUUUUCAUGCCCUGCUGGUAAGAACAGGGUCUUUUUAAAACUAUUUGUCUAGAACAGGAUCGCCUAUUUAACGCUUUAAGAUACAGUAUAGAACUAGUUUUAUCUUAUACGGUCUAGAACAGGGUAUACAUUUUCUGAGCGUGUAUAGAACAGGGUAUAUUUUUCAAUAUUUUUGUUAAGAACAGGGUAUAUUUUUAAACGUUUUCUGGUAAGAACAGGAUAUGAUUUGGCAAGUGCUGUCGGCACAGUUAUACCUGAAAGGAUAGUCAGUAACCCCCCAGUUGGAAAAUCAAGAAUUAAAUGUGAUCAUGAAGAUAGACAUUCCUUAGUGCAAUCCUUGAUAAUGUUUUAAAUGAGAAAAUGUGUUCCAAAGCGAUAAAAAUUUAUUUAAAUUAAUAUAUAAAUAACUUUUGUCAAACAUUAAAGACAUGCAUACUGGAAGCACUCUAAUAAGGUUUAAUUUCCAUAGUAAAUGUGCAUUUUACAGGUUAUUUUCCUCUUUUUCUUAAAGUCAUAUAUUACUUAUCUUGUGAAUUUAAAAGGCCUGGCGAUUUAAGUUUUACAGGAUGUUGCAAUUUUGUGAAUGAAUAAUAUUUAGAAUAUAAUGACCUGGUGCGAUCUUUUUAAUGAGUUUGUCCCAAGCAGGAGGUGUUAUUAGUUAUCUUGGUGUAAUUCAGGGGUGUACAGAAUGUUUCAACAACGGUGUAAAAUUCCGUUACACCCCUGAUUACACCAAGAUAACGAAUUUAUUUCGUAUGAACAUUCCUUUACUCAUUU